CACGUAGGGGACGAGCGUUGUCCGGAUUCAUUGGGCGUAAAGCGCGCGUAGGCGGCUCGGAAAGUCGGUCGUGAAAUGCCGGGGCUCAACCCCGGGACUGCGUCCGAUACUCCCGAGCUGGAGGCAGGUAGGGGAGAUCGGAAUUCCUGGUGUAGCGGUGAAAUGCGCAGAUAUCCGGAGGAACACCAGUGGCGAAGGCGGCCUUCUGGGAUGCUCCGUGACGCUCA
rnacentral:rRNA from 1 species